CGAAAGCCUGACGGAGCAACGCCGCGUGUGGGAAGAAGGCCUUUGGGCUGUCAACCACUUUUCUCAGGGAAGAAGUUCUGACGGUACCUGAGGAAUCAGCCUCGGCUAACUCCGUGCCAGCAGCCGCGGUAAUACGGAGGAGGCAAGCGUUAUUCGGAAUCAUUGGGCGUAAAGCGUUCGUAGGCGGCUGUUCAAGUCUGCUGUCAAAGACCGAGGCUCAACCUCGGGUCGGCAGUGGAAACUGGUGGGCUAGAGGGCGACAGGGGUAGAGGGAAUUCCCAGUGUAGCGGUGAGAUGCGUAGAUAUUGGGAAGAACACCGGUGGCGAAAGCGCUUUGCUGGACCGAACCUGACGCUGAGGGACGAAAGCUAGGGGAGCG
rnacentral:rRNA from 1 species